rnacentral:rRNA from 1 species
UACGUAGGGGGCUAGCGUUGUCCGGAAUCAUUGGGCGUAAAGCGCGUGUAGGCGGUCCGGUAAGUCCGCUGUGAAAGUCGGGGGCUCAACCCUCGGAUGGCGGUUGAUACUGUCGGGCUUGAGUACGGAAGAGGAGAGUGGAAUUCCUGGUGUAGCGGUGAAAUGCGCAGAUAUCAGGAGGAACACCAAUUGCGAAGGCAGCUCGCUGGGACGUUACUGACGCUGAGACGCGAAAGCGUGGGGAGCAAACAGG